rnacentral:tRNA from 1 species
AUAGCUCAGUGGUAGAGUGUGUGCUUAGCAUGCAUGAGGUCCUGGGUUCAAUCUCCAGU